rnacentral:rRNA from 1 species
GACGUAGGGCGCGAGCGUUGUCCGGAUUUAUUGGGCGUAAAGAGCUCGUAGGCGGUUUGUCGCGUCUGCUGUGAAAACGCGAGGCUCAACCUCGCGCCUGCAGUGGGUACGGGCAGACUAGAGUGCGGUAGGGGAGAUUGGAAUUCCUGGUGUAGCGGUGGAAUGCGCAGAUAUCAGGAGGAACACCGAUGGCGAAGGCAGAUCUCUGGGCCGUAACUGACGCUGAGGAGCGAAAGCGUGGGGAGCGAACAGG